rnacentral:rRNA from 1 species
AGAGUUUGAUCCUGGCUCAGAUUGAACGCUGGCGGCAUGCCUUACACAUGCAAGUCGAACGGCAGCACGGGAGCAAUCCUGGUGGCGAGUGGCGAACGGGUGAGUAAUAUAUCGGAACGUGCCCAGUAGUGGGGGAUAGCCCGGCGAAAGCCGGAUUAAUACCGCAUACGACCUGUGGGUGAAAGCGGGGGAUCGCAAGACCUCGCGCUAUUGGAGCGGCCGAUAUCAGAUUAGCUUGUUGGUGGGGUAAAAGCCCACCAAGGCGACGAUCUGUAGCUGGUCUGAGAGGACGACCAGCCACACUGGGACUGAGACACGGCCCAGACUCUUACGGGAGGCAGCAGUGGGGAAUCUUGGACAAUGGGCGAAAGCCUGAUCCAGCCAUGCCGCGUGAAUGAUGAAGGCCCUAGGGUUGUAAAAUUCUUUCGACGGGGAAGAUAAUGACGGUACCCGUAGAAGAAGCUCCGGCUAACUUCGUG